GACGAACGCUGGCGGCGUGCUUAACACAUGCCAGUCGAACGGAAAGGCCCUGCUCUUGUGGGGUGCUCGAGUGGCGAACGGGUGAGUAAAACGUGAGUAACCUGCCCUUGACUUUGGGAUAACUUCAGGAAACUGGGGCUAAUACCGGAUAGGAGCUCCUGCUGCAUGGUGGGGGUUGGAAAGUUUCGGCGGUUGGGGCUGGACUCGCGGGUUAUCAGCUGGUUGGUGGGGUAGUGGCUUACAAGGGCUUUGACGGGUAGCCCGCCUGAGAGGGUGACCGGCGACCAUGGGACUGCGAUACGGCCCAGACUCCUAUGGGAGGCAGCAGUGGGGAAUAUUGCACAAUGGGCGGAAGCCUGAUGCAGCAACGCCGCGUGCGGGAUGACGGCCUUCGGGUUGUAAACCGCUUUCGCCUGUGACGAAGCGUGAGUGACGGUAAUGGGUAAAGAAGCACCGGCUAACUACGUG
rnacentral:rRNA from 1 species